rnacentral:rRNA from 1 species
UGACCGGGAUGAGCUCAAAUUUAAAAUCUGGCGUCUUUCAGGCGUCCGAGUUGUAAUCUAUAGAGGCGUUUUCCGCGCCGGACCGCGUCCAAGUCUCUUGGAAUAGAGUAUCAAAGAGGGUGACAAUCCCGUACUUGACGCGACAACCGGUGCUCUGUGAUACGUUCUCAAUGAGUCGAGUUGUUUGGGAAUGCAGCUCUAAAUGGGUGGUAAAUUCCAUCUAAGGCUAAAUAUUGGCGAGAGACCGAUAGCGAACAAGUACCGUGAGGGAAAGAUGAAAAGCACUUUGGAAAGAGAGUUAAACAGCACGUGAAAUUGUUAAAAGGGAAACGAUUGAAGUCAGUCGUGUGAAAGGUAUUCAGCCGUCUCUGGCGGUGUAUUUGCCUUUCACGGGUCAACAUCAGUUUGAUCCGGUAGAAAAAGGCAGGAGGAAGGUGGCACCCUCGGGUGUGUUAUAGCCUCUUGUCAUAUGUGCCGGACCAGACUGAGGAACGCAGCUUGCCGCAAGGCCGGGGUUCGCCCACGUACAAGCUUAGGAUGUUGACAUAAUGGCUUU